GACGAACGCUGGCGGCGUGCUUAACACAUGUAAGUCGAACGGAAAGGCCCUGCUUGCCGGGUACUCGAGUGGCGAACGGGUGAGUAACACGUGGGUGAUCUGCCCUGCACUUCGGGAUAAGCCUGGGAAACUGGGUCUAAUACCGGAUAGGAGCCAUUUUUAGUGUGAUGGUUGGAAAGUUUUUUCGGUGUAGGAUGAGCUCGCGGCCUAUCAGCUUGUUGGUGGGGUAAUGGCCUACCAAGGCGGCGACGGGUAGCCGGCCUGAGAGGGUGGACGGCCACAUUGGGACUGAGAUACGGCCCAGACUCCUACGGGAGGCAGCAGUGGGGAAUAUUGCACAAUGGGCGCAAGCCUGAUGCAGCGACGCCGCGUGGGGGAUGACGGCCUUCGGGUUGUAAACUCCUUUCGCUAGGGACGAAGCUUUUUGUGACGGUACCUAGAUAAGAAGCACCGGCUAACUACGUG
rnacentral:rRNA from 1 species